rnacentral:sRNA from 1 species
AUGUAAGCCAUGUAUCUAGGA